CUACCUGCAGAACUUUUUAAUUACUCCCGUCUUGAGUAUUUAACGAUCAGUGACGUAGCAAACUCUGGUUUCCAAUUCCCACGAUUUGCAAACCUGAACAAUAUAUACACUCUGAUAUUAAGGAACUGUUCCAUCAC